CAAGAUAUAGCUUAAUAAGACAAAGCAUCCGGUUUACACCCGGAAGAUUUCACCACUAUGAAUAUCUUGA
rnacentral:tRNA from 1 species